rnacentral:rRNA from 2 species
GAGUUUGAUCCUGGCUCAGAAUGAACGCUGGCGGCAGGCCUAACACAUGCAAGUCGAACGGAGUUAUAUUGUAGCUUGCUAUGGUAUAACUUAGUGGCAGACGGGUGAGUAAUGUAUAGGAAUCUACCUAGUAGUACGGAAUAAUUGUUGGAAACGGCAACUAAUACCGUAUACGCCCUACGGGGGAAAAAUUUAUUGCUAUUAGAUGAGCCUAUAUUAGAUUAGUUAGUUGGUGAGGUAAAGGCUUACCAAGACAAUGAUCUAUAGCUGAUCUGAGAGGAUGAUCAGCCACACUGGAACUGAGAUACGGUCCAGACUCCUACGGGAGGCAGCAGUGGGGAAUAUUGGACAAUGGGCGAAAGCCUGAUCCAGCCAUGCCGCAUGAGUGAAGAAGGCCUUCGGGUUGUAAAGCUCUUUUAGUGAGGAAGAUAAUGACGGUACUCACAGAAGAAGUCCUGGCUAACUCCGUGCCAGCAGCCGCGGUAAUACGGAGAGGGCUAGCGUUGUUCGGAAUCAUUGGGCGUAAAGGGCGCGUAGGCGGGUUAGUAAGUUAAAAGUGAAAUCCCAAGGCUCAACCUUGGAACUGCUUUUAAAACUGCUAGUCUAGAGAUUGAAAGAGGAUAGAGGAAUUCCUAGUGUAGAGAUGAAAUUCGUAAAUAUUAGGAGGAACACCAGUGGCGAAAGGCGUCUAUCUGGUUCAAAUCUGACGCUGAGGCGCGAAGGC